rnacentral:rRNA from 1 species
AGGAAAGAGAAGUCGUAACAAGGUCUCCGUAGAUGAACCUACGAAAGGAUCAUUG